rnacentral:rRNA from 1 species
UAGGGAAUCUUCCGCAAUGGACGAAAGUCUGACGGAGCAACGCCGCGUGAGUGAAGAAGGAUUUCGGUUCGUAAAACUCUGUUGUUAGGGAAGAAAAAAUGUAUAGUAACUAUAUACAAAAGAGACGGUACCUAACCAGAAAGCCACGGCUAACUACGUGCCAGCAGCCGCGGUAAUACGUAGGUGGCAAGCGUUGUCCGGAAUUAUUGGGCGUAAAGCGCGCGCAGGUGGUUUAGAAAGUCUGAUGUGAAAGCCCACGGCUCAACCGUGGAGGGUCAUUGGAAACUAAUAAACUUGAGUGCAGGAGAGAAAAGUGGAAUUCCUAGUGUAGCGGUGAAAUGCGUAGAGAUUAGGAGGAACACCGGUGGCGAAGGCAGGUCACUGGGCCGUUACUGACACUGAGGAGCGAAAGCGUGGGGAGCGAACAGG